rnacentral:lncRNA from 1 species
UAACAUACAUAAAUCACAAUACACAUAAUCUCAAGCAUACACAUAUGAUCUUCCAGUCCACACAUUGAUACCACCCUAGGUGAUGUAAAGUGAGAAGACUCACCUCGGUUAGCAGGUAACCGACAAGCACUUGGAAAUCUUGGACUCGCCUCCGCCUAACAUAUAAGACAAGCAUCUCAAUCAUUAUCCGUCUUAUUACACUUUAUACCUUAAGUCCUCUUUUCCUCUUUUGACCCUCAGGAUGGGUAAAAGACCAUUUUACCCCUCCUUGGCCCCACCUGCCCCCUUACUGGGCGACUCAUGAAGUCAACAGAAGUCAACCUGGGUCAACAUUCCAUGUUGCCCUGACUCACUGAGUGUACACUCGUGACUCACUGAUUCCCUCUAAUUCUCCAUGAUCUUUCUAGGGUUCGCUCAGCUCAUUGAUUUGACUCCCAAAUCGAUGAGUCAACACUUGCCAAGACUACUGGGUCACACCCGCUACAACUCGUCGAGUCGUCCCACGGACUUGGCGAGUUGGCUCCAUAGGAUUACUCAUUCAACCACCUAAGGUCAGAUAUGUAGCUCUAACUCGUAGAUUUAACCUCCUACUACCCAAAAGUCGCGUAAAUGUCCGAUCUUGAUGUCCAUGCAUGGUGUAUUUUGCAUUAUAAACCAUAAAAACUCCAUUAAUGGUUCCUAGCUUCAAAUCCCAAUGGUUGCUCCACCAUGGCUUCCCACUUUCGGACUCUCUGGACCCUCUUAGGUCCAGAUCUACGCUGCCAGCUCAUAAGAGGGGUUUGAUGCAUUGAAAACCCCACCAAGAAGGUAAUACAAGCCAUAAUCCACAAAUGAAAGAUCUACUCAAAUAGGGAAGAAAGGGGUCUGAAUUGAUACCUCCAACUGAUGCUCCUUGAUUGCAAAUCGUGGAUCUACAACCUCUUCUGGCCCCUUUGGCUUAAAACCUUCCUCUUCCUUGCAAGACACCCACCAAGAAGCUCAACAUGGAUCUUUCUCUUGCCCAAAGCACUCAGGACUCAUUUAGGGUACUCUCCUCUGAAGGGUAGCCGCAAUAGGAGACCUUAAGUCCCUUUAAAUAGGCCCAGACCCGAAAGAAUUAGGGUUUCUACCAACAGCGCUGAGUCGGCGAGUCAUCUCUCCGACUCCUCGAGUCCAUUCAUUAUCCACAUCACCAAGGUGUGACCCUACUCGACGAGUUGAGGCACCAACUCGUUGAGUCCCUCCAAAAUACUUAAAUUAAAUAAUUAAAACAAUAUACCUGGUAAACCGGAUGUUACAAUUCUCCCCCACUUUAAUUAGAUGUUGCCCUCGAAAUCGCUCCUUAACCACACAUAGAUUGAAUCCAACAACCCGAAAGGCACUACCGAAAGGAUCUCAUACCACACCGAUAUCUUUUUCCAUGGACACCUGAAUCCACAAAGAAAUUCCCAAGUCUGGAACCAAACUAGCCCUUAUGCUGCUAAGAUACCCAUUUCUGACCUUCCCAAAAUCAGGAAACUCUAGUGGCCUGGCCCGCCGCCAGACCGCCCACUCACGCUAUCACCAUGCUAUUCGCUCCUCGAACAUCAAACCUUGAUAACUCACUACUCCUCUGAUUCUCACAAGACAAAAUCCAACAAUCGGCUACUGGUCACUCAUACCAAACGUACAAGACGAUCUGAAUCACGCCCCAAGGGACGAAAGGGUUCACAUCCCACCAGGGGCUCAUCCACUAAACUACUAUCAUAACCCAUCCGAACAAUAAACUUUCAACACCUUGUUCUCCGACAUAAGAACAAAAACUAAUCAUGCUCGCUCAGAGGUCCUCAGACAUCUAAAAAUCGUAAUCCUUCCCUUUCUCCUAGAUAUAUCUUUUUAACAUUUAGCACAUGGUCUACUCUCGACCCUACGGUUGGAACCACUCAUCCCAAUGAACAACUCAACUCAUGACUCAUGAACUGCAACCCAUGCGUACCUCAAUUAUCCACUUCCCUUUGGUUGCCACAACCACUACUCAAUUCAGAAUAUAACGAUUCCUGACAAAUAUGGAGACCCCAGUCUCGCCCCUGGUUCGACCACCAGGCUCCUAAAAUCUCAAAUAUUAGGGCUACCCAAGCCUAAAACUCUUAUGCGUCAUGCUCUGAUCAAAGAUUACUUCAUCACAACACUCUCUCGCUGACUAGUGAGUACUACGGCUCCCCGCAGUAUCACAACACCAUUUCGCUGACUAGUGAGUACUACGGCUCCCCGCAGCAUCACAACAACCUCUCACUGACUAGUGAGUACUACGACUCCCCACAACAUCACAACAAUCUCUCACUGACUAGUGCGUACUACAGCUCCCCAUAGCAUCACCACACCCCUUUGCAUUAACUCAUUGAAUUGCAGCUCCCCGCAGUCUUACCGUACUUGCUCUUACCACUUCAUAAUUUCAUCCUCAGGUCGACGCCAUAAUUUGAUCAUUAACUCAUGCCCUGCAUACCAACCAUAGAUAGGUGUACACACUUACCCAAAUUAUGCAUCACUAUUUCUGUCGACAUCCAUCAUAACAAAACACCUUUCCCUGCUGCAAUCCACAUUCUCGAAUAAUCUCUCUUGAUGUCAUUUGGCCAAAGGGCUCCCACUGGAACCGUAGAUACUUGAUACACCACAUGCCAUCUCAAACUCAACUCAAAAUAAUCCGAGAUUUAGGACAUUAUACUUGGAUACCCCGAUACACCAUCACAACACCUUGCAAUGUCUUGACUCUACCACUGAUCUUAUACUCAUGGCAUCAUACUCAGAUACCGCAUUGCUUCCUCGGAAUCUCGCAUCCGAUCUUCCUCUCGUCCUACUUGUAACCCCGGAAUACUCGAUCUCCCAAUUUUAAAUGCGGAGAAAUUGCCAACAAAUCAGAACACGAAGAUGACCCUCCGAAACUCUUUCCUCUAUUGCUAAAAAAAGAAGCGAGAUUACGCAUGCCGACCCGGAAAUUGGCUGCCCGAUCAUCUCUUACCCUUUCCAAAGAGCAUAGAAUAAUCCAGUCAUCGAACCAAAAUUUCUAAACUUUCGAAGUAUCCUUACGAACCAACCACGUCAAAUUCACCAUUACAACCUCGAAAAAUUCUUAUCUACCAGAAGACCUCUGACCAACGACCACCUGCCGUGCAGACACUCAUACUUUCUUGAACAUGUACAACAUGCAUUAACUCACUAUACAACUCACCUCCACCACCAAUAACCCUGGUCUUAUGUAUCCAUAGUGCAUGUUUCUAUAUCCAGCUCCCUAACCGCUCUUGAACAAGUCUCUGAUCCUCUAAAAAAAAUACCCGGUUCUCCCCCACUCGGGGUUACAACCAUCACCAAUUGGUGCACCAAUAAUCUAUUCCACAGACCGUUUCCACCAGGAACACCACACUUAUUCUUGAAAGGUACUACACAAUGCUCGAUGGUCUCCCCGAUAGAGACCCCGCAACUCCAAAUAUCCCGAAUCUCAGAUGAAAUCCUCAGAAACUUCUCAUCAUGAUUGCCUCUACUCAUACAGAAUCUCAUACUAUCCCAUUACCGGACAUCUCAAUUAUCCAGUAGUAACCCUGACUUUUAAUCUGAAAAAAAUGAACAAUCAUACUCCUCAUCCUCGACUCCUCAACCAACGUUUCAUCACGUAGAUUGUAAUAAGAGCGGAGACCUCAUUACCACACUCGAUACUCAUCAUAGACAAUAAGAGCCACCGCCCCAAUAUCCUCUUCAUCAUUGUCCUCUAUUGUAGCUAAUACAUGCCCUACUAUACUUAAAUAGGGUGUAUUCUUUUCCGUAACCAUCUCAGUCCCCACUAACAACCAACUCAUGCUCUAUCAUUACCUCUCGGUAGACAUACUGCCCAAAUACUCUGAUGGAAGUUCGACAUCAAUGCUAACCCGUAGGGUUUUAUCCCCAAGCUCAGAAACCGAAAUCUCAACAUCCCUUAUGUUUCCCACAGGAAAUGGAAAUAUCACCACUCAGGUCACAAAAGGUGACAUCUCCACUAUCGUCUGAUUGCUCAACUCAAGCCGCAAUCCUCCAUAAACGCAAUCUCUACUCAUUCUUGAAUCUCUACUCAUUCUUGAAUCUUGUGACUUCAUCUGACAUCUCACCAAAAAAACCUUAGACUCAUCUCGACUUCCCUCACAAGGGAUGCUUUGAUGGAAGUUGUUCCACAUGCCCCUCUGACCUCAUACUCUAUCGCAUUCGAUCUCGGUCUAACCAAUCACAACGGAAGAACUUGUAGAUCUAGUAACACUAACCGCCACGGGUCAUGGUACUCGAACCAUGUGGCCACCUCUCAAUUAGCUAUAAACCAUGGUACUCGAACGACGUUAUCUCCUCUUAAUCUGGUACGGAUCAUGGUACCCGAACCAUGUUCUCUCUUCUCAAUCUGCUACAAAGCAUGGUACACGAACAAGGGAAUCACCAAUCAAUCUGCUACUUAGCAUGGUACUAGAACCAUGACAUCACUUCUCAAUCUGCUACUUAGCAUGGUACCCGAACCAUGAAAUCACCUCUCAAUCUGCUACAUAGCAUGGUACUCGAACCAUGACAUCACCUCUCAAUCUGCUACUUAGCAUGGUACUCAAACCAUGACAUCACCUCUCAAUCUGCUACCAAUCAUGGUACUCGAACCAUGACAUCACCUCUCAACCUGCUACCAAUCAUGUUACUUAAACCAUGACAUCACCUUUCAACCUACUACUUAGAACCUCUAGAAUACUCCCUACAUCAAGUAUAGGUCCUCUGAUUUCAAUAGUACGGGCCCAUACUACCUGCCACAUCAACCCAUACGUUCCACACAGACCAUCCCAUAUUUCCUAAGUAGCUGAUCAACCUUCUCGUUCAUCCACCUCGUUACAUGUGUUCACUCCCCAGCUAAAUGCUCUAUCCUGUCAUCGCACUCAUCUGACCACGGUCACCCCCUAGGCUCUUCCUAGGUGCUCACAAUACUCUACCAUUAGCUGAUGAAGAACUCCUAAUGAUUCCAACCAUUUACUUUCCGAAUUUCGUCAUAUUCACUUAGUAGCUGACUGCCAUCAUUGAGAGUUCUACAAAGCAUGAAGCAAGCAGCAUUUGGGCAUCGAAAAUCUCUACCAACACGUAAACUACUCUAGGUUACAACUCCACUUGCUAUAUUCAAACACAACAGGUGUCACCGAACUAAAGCACUCUACCCCACACGGGCAUAUAAAUACUCUCUCAGUAGGCAUCCUUCGAUGCUUAUCUAGGUAUCUCUCCUAGACUACUCCUCUACUCAAAGCUCUAUCUUUGAAAUAUUCUUGCUGUAUACUCUUACUAAGCACAUACUCGAAAUCAUAUAACAGAUAACAACAACUCCUAGGCUAAGGCGUCACAAAUCAAGCCACUUUAGUCCUAAAAUAUGAAGUACAUAUCCUACUGUCUAGCAUGCAUAACAUAUCUCAUAAUAUUUGAUAACACAUAACAUAAGGGUAUUUUAGGAAAUCACCGUUCCGACGUAGGCUGAUUGUACAAACUACUCUUUUCCGCUUUCUCUUGAAAUAUUUUACUCGUUUCCAGAAAAAUCAUUUCUUUUGAAAACUUUUCUCAAAUCCUAAGUUUGAGUCCAGACAUACCUGAAGGUGUAUCCGAAUCCCUCAAACCACGGAUCUGAUACCAAGUUGUAAUGAUGAAAAUUUUCAAACAAAUUUUUCAUUUUAAAAUCCCAUACUUUUCAUAACAUAUUGUAUAAAAAUCUCGUUUGUUCAAUUUACAAAACACAACUCCAUGUUUGAUUUAUUAAUAAUCCAGGAUCCUCAAAACAUAACUCUUUCUCUGGUGUGUACAAUCAAGCCGGUGCCAUCCUACGAUCUUGAGAAACAUGAAACACAUAACACAUAACAUGGUAAGCACGAAGCUUAGUGAGCUUCCCAAAAUACCACAUACAAUAAUUCGCCAUUUGAGGCUAAAAUCCAUAAGUCCCUCUGGUAAAUGUGUCUCAGUGGGACCCUCCUGUCCUGUAGCUCUUUGGACCCUCUGAUCCGGUCUUGCUCGUUGGACCCUCCGGUCUGGUCUGGUUGAGCACCCUCUGGCCUCGUAAAUCGUUGGACCCUCUCAUCCGGUCAGAAUAGCACAUAACAUACAUAAAUCACAAUACACAUAAUCUCAAGCAUACACAUAUGAUCUUCCAGUCCACACAUUGAUACCACCCUAGGUGAUGUAAAGUGAGAAGACUCACCUCGGUUAGCAGGUAACCGACAAGCACUUGGAAAUCUUGGACUCGCCUCCGCCUAACAUAUAAGACAAGCAUCUCAAUCAUUAUCCGUAUUAUUACACUUUAUACCUUAAGUCCUCUUUUCCUCUUUUGACCCUCAGGAUGGGUAAAAGACCAUUUUACCCCUCCUUGGCCCCACC